CACAAAAGCAAGCUUUUACGGUGGUUAAGAAAGAUAGAAAAUUUGGCAAAAGACCACCUAGGCUUAACCAUGAGAUCUUGCAUGAUUUAAAAAAUAAAAAGGAGUCAUA